CGGUCUAGUACAUGCCGAAAUAAGGCGAAACCGCGAAUGGCUCAUUAAAUCAGUUAUGGUUCCUUAGAUCGUUUCUUCCUACUUGGAUAACUGUGGCAAUUCUAGAGCUAAUACAUGCAGUGAGCCUGGAGCCCUUUGGGUAACGGGUGCUUUUAUUAGACCAAGAUCGAUCGGGUUUCGGCCCGUAUUGUGUGGUGACUCUGGAUAACUUUGUGCUGAUCGCAUGGCCACGAGCCGGCGACGUUUCUUUCAAGUGUCUGCCUUAUCAACUUUCGAUGGUAGGUUACUUGCUUACCAUGGUUGUUACGGGUAACGGAGAAUCAGGGUUCGAUUCCGGAGAGGGAGCCUGAGAAACGGCUACCACAUCCAAGGAAGGCAGCAGGCGCGCAAAUUACCCACUCCCGGCACGGGGAGGUAGUGACGAAAAAUAACAAUACGGGACUCUUUUGAGGCCCCGUAAUUGAAAUGAGUACACUCUAAAUCCUUUAACGAGGAUCAAUUGGAGGGCAAGUCUGUCCCAGCAGCCA
rnacentral:rRNA from 1 species